CACAGAUUGCCAGGGAGCCUGCACUGCCUUGUCCACCCAUUAGGGUCUCUCGCACUCAGGUUGCAGUUUUUGGCUAUCUGGAUGACAAAGAUCAUUUGCAUAAGUUUUCUUAACGAAGGACAGAGCACUGUGCCUCAGCGUGGAUCAGCAAAGAAAGUCUGAUGAUUCAACAUGUAGUCGGUUGCUCUCACGUUCACACCAAAGGUACCGAACUUAUAUGGAAGACCCUAAGUGGUAAGACCCAUGCCUACUGGAAAUGGAAUCUUCUGCUUCUGGGAACUUCUCUGCUCCACAAACAGUCACGCCCUGGAUCUGCAGACUGCCAUCAACACCUGCUCUCCUGCAGUGCCUGGUGCUCCAGAAACCCCAGGCUGCCCGUUGUGAGGCCAGGGAUGCGCAGCUUUCCCAGAGCCAGGCAUUUUACAUUGUUUGUAGUCUGCAUUUUGGAGUCAUUACUCAGUGGUACAAGAGAUGCAAUUGUCACUGCGGUUGGAAGCCAAUCAACGCGUUGUGAGUGGGAGCCCGCUGGUACUUUCCAAUGGUCCUUGAUUAAAAAGGAAGCUCUUGGCUAUCUUCAAGCAGCAGGAGAGGAAACAGCACGGAGAAGAUACUCAGAUGCAGCGGAAUUCAAGCAUGAAACUAAACAGCUUCUCAGAUAUUAUCUAUUCAGCCAUCUGCUUGACAGACAAUGGAUAACCUUCCAGAUUCAUGGAGCUGCAUCUGCCUUUUAAUCCAGUGGUAGUCUCCAUGGAAAUAAACAGGAGGCAUUACUUUUGGAGCAACCCAUGUAUAUGUGGCCCAGAACCAUUCCUCUUCACUCAAUACAGCUCAGACAAGCCAAAAGGUUGGAUAGCCAUGCUCUAAGGCUUCUGCUCAUCCAGAAGAGACUGCAGGGACUUCAGGUGAUCUUCGCCUCCUGCUGAACCAGAUAGGUAAAAAGGGAAAAGGUUAUAUUCUGAUAUCAUCAGGAGCAAUAUUGGGCAACUUAGGACCUCCUAUAUUUGGCCUAUGACUUUUGCAGGAAGAUCUCCACCCUCCUCCAACAAGAAGUACACUGCCAUCCCUCCUAAAUCCAGGACUCGCAUCAAAAACAGACUGAUGGGAUGCUGUUGUGACAAGAGGAGAGGACAGGAUUGCCCACUGGAUGAGGAGUUGUGGAGCAGUACUCAAGGAAAUCCCAUCGAUCAGACCGAUUCAGCAGAGACUUUGCCUUGCAGCCAUCAGACAUACCAACUCUGGCCUCCCCACUGCAAAACCCAACUUGGAUACAGGGAGGAAGCAUUGCUGCCUGGCAUGCUUUUGCAGAGUAUAAUUAGGAGCAUGCAAAGGAAGCUCGUCAAAGGAUACCUUCUCCACCAGGUACCUUCAGCCACAGAUGUGCAGCGGGGCACCUGCUUGGCAGGACGGGGAGCUUGGAGGGCAAAGGCAUGCAGCACAUGGAUGUUGUUCCUGCCCGUUUCACCAAGAACUGCUGCAAUGGCUGACUGAUAAUCCUGUGGCGAAUAUUUGAAGAUGUGUUUUCUUCUGGUUUGGAACAUCUCCCAUCUAUUUGCAAGAUCUGCUCAUGAACUAUAAAUUCCUCCCCGCUCCCCAAAAUGCUAUUCCUGAGAACUCCAUUUCAAACACAAUUUAUGGCUUGGAUGAAAAACAGAGAUGUCUUUGAAUCGUUCUAUUUUUGCAUGGCGUUUCAACAUGUGUUAGCAGCACUGGGCAACACAUAAUGGGACAUUGUAGGCUUACUGAGAUGCUGUGUCCCAGUGGAAAACAGUUCAGAUGAAGUUUCUACCAUUCCUGAGGACAUCCUGGGGCAGAAAGUGGCACUUGAAUGCCAGAAGGCCUGCAUACCUCUGCUAGUCCAGGCUCCAGCACCUCUCUGCUGCCCAGAAGAUAUCAGCAUUUUGGGACUGAUGGGGAAAUUCACUGUUCACUGCUUUAAUGGAACUUUCUGAUAUGGCAUUAUAUCCAUUUGGUUGAUUUUUUCCUCUGCAGCUGAUAUUAGUUUUAUACAAAGAUUAUGGAGUGAGUGUUCCUAGACUGGAAGACAUGGGAUUACUCUGUACUUGGGUUUGUUUGAUCCUCAUUAAUUCCUUUCCCCAAAAACAGUGACAUCCUGAAGAAGAACUACUGCAAGUGUCUCAUUCUCUGCACAGGGGCAUAACUUCCCAGUGAGUUUGUUUUCUGCUUGCUAGCACUUACUAAUGCCUAAAAACAACUUCUGCAAGAGGAAAGCACGAGGCAGCAACUCUUUGCCCAUGCAAUUACAGUGAUUGUCUACACAAAUCAAGUGUUUUUGUAUGCAAAUGGCCAGUAAGCAUCUAGUGGAUGCAAUGGCUUGAAUUUCAAUUUGCAGUGAAUAGUCACAUAUGCAAACACGUG
ensembl:lncRNA